GAUGAACGCUGGCGGCGUGCCUAAUACAUGCAAGUCGAGCGAACAGACGAGGAGCUUGCUCCUCUGACGUUAGCGGCGGACGGGUGAGUAACACGUGGAUAACCUACCUAUAAGACUGGGAUAACUUUGGGAAACCGGAGCUAAUACCGGAUAAUAUAUUGAACCGCAUGGUUCAAUAGUGAAAGACGGUUUUGCUGUCACUUAUAGAUGGAUCCGCGCCGCAUUAGCUAGUUGGUAAGGUAACGGCUUACCAAGGCGACGAUGCGUGGCCGACCUGAGAGGGUGAUCGGCCACACUGGAACUGAGACACGGUCCAGACUCCUACGGGAGGCAGCAGUAGGGAAUCUUCCGCAAUGGGCGAAAGCCUGACGGAGCAACGCCGCGUGAGUGAUGAAGGUCUUCGGAUCGUAAAACUCUGUUAUUAGGGAAGAACAAAUGUGUGAGUAACUAUGCACGUCUUGACGGUACCUAAUCAGAAAGCCACGGCUAACUACGUG
rnacentral:rRNA from 1 species